UAGGGAAUAUUGGACAAUGGGCGCAAGCCUGAUCCAGCCAUGCCGCGUGAGUGACGAAGGUCUUCGGAUUGUAAAGCUCUUUUUGGCGGGGACGAUAAUGACGGUACCCGCAGAAUAAGCCCCGGCUAACUUCGUGCCAGCAGCCGCGGUAAUACGAAGGGGGCUAGCGUUGUUCGGAAUCACUGGGCGUAAAGCGCACGUAGGCGGAUUUGUUAGUCAGGGGUGAAAUCCCGGGGCUCAACCUCGGAACUGCCUCUGAUACUGCAAAUCUCGAGUCCGAUAGAGGUGAGUGGAAUUCCUAGUGUAGAGGUGAAAUUCGUAGAUAUUAGGAAGAACACCAGUGGCGAAGGCGGCUCACUGGAUCGGUACUGACGCUGAGGUGCGAAAGCGUGGGGAGCAAACAGGAUUAGAUACCCCCGUAGUCCCUGAGCGGGCUGGCAAGGCGCAU
rnacentral:rRNA from 1 species